GCGAGAUCGUUUUGAUACCAUGGAUUUUGCGAACGCAAAAAACGAGAGAUGCGGGUUGUACUGGUGGUCACUCGUGCGCUCUCCUCCUCUUCAUUCACUGGCGGCACAAUUGAAGGACCACUAGUGCCAGCUCGUCUGGCCAGACACAGCACUGACUUGGUGCCUUGUGUGACCUGCAUUGGCUUAGGAGGCGUCAGAGCUCUUUGGGCCCCACA